rnacentral:rRNA from 1 species
UCAACUUGAGAGUUUGAUCCUGGCUCAGAACGAACGCUGGCGGCAGGCCUAACACAUGCAAGUCGAGCGCGCCUUCGGGUGAGCGGCGGACGGGUUAGUAACGCGUGGGAACGUGCCCUUCUCUGUGGAAUAGGCUCUGGAAACGGAGAGUAAUACCGCAUACGCCCCCCAAUCAAAUGUCAUUUGAUUGGGCGAUUUUAAGGAUCUCUCAAAUGUUUGGUGGCAUUUGAUGGGGGGGAAAGAUUUUUCGGGGAAGGAUCGGCCCGCGUUAGAUUAGGUAGUUGGUGGGGUAA